rnacentral:rRNA from 1 species
UGACCGCUGGCGGCGUGCCUACUACAUGCAAGUCGAGCGAACGGACGAGAAGCUUGCUUCUCUGAUGUUAGCGGCGGACGGGUGAGUAACACGUGGAUAACCUACCUAUAAGACUGGGAUAACUUCGGGAAACCGGAGCUAAUACCGGAUGAUAUUUUGAACCGCAUGGUUCAAAAGUGAAAGACGGUCUUGCUGUCACUUAUAGAUGGAUCCGCGCUGCAUUAGCUAGUUGGUAAGGUAACGGCUUACCAAGGCAACGAUGCAUAGCCGACCUGAGAGGGUGAUCGGCCACACUGGAACUGAGACACGGUCCAGACUCCUACGGGAGGCAGCAGUAGGGAAUCUUCCGCAAUGGGCGAAAGCCUGACGGAGCAACGCCGCGUGAGUGAUGAAGGUCUUCGGAUCGUAAAACUCUGUUAUUAGGGAAGAACAUAUGUGUAAGUAACUGUGCACAUCUUGACGGUACCUAAUCAGAAAGCCACGGCUAACUACGUG